rnacentral:rRNA from 1 species
AGAGUUUGAUCCUGGCUCAGGACGAACGCUGGCGGCGUGCUUAACACAUGCAAGUCGAACGGAGCACCUUCGAAAGAGACUUCGGUCAAUGGAAAAGAAUGCUUAGUGGCGGACGGGUGAGUAACGCGUGAGGAACCUGCCUUUCAGUGGGGGACAACAGUUGGAAACGACUGCUAAUACCGCAUAACGUACGGGUAUCGCAUGGUAUCUGUACCAAAGAUUUAUCGCUGAGAGAUGGCCUCGCGUCUGAUUAGCUAGUUGGUAGGGUAACGGCCUACCAAGGCGACGAUCAGUAGCCGGACUGAGAGGUUGGCCGGCCACAUUGGGACUGAGAUACGGCCCGGACUCCUACGGGAGGCAGCAGUGGGGAAUAUUGGGCAAUGGGCGAAAGCCUGACCCAGCAACGCCGCGUGAAGGAAGAAGGCUUUCGGGUUGUAAACUUCUUUUGACAGGGAAGAGCAGAAGACGGUACCUGUCGAAUAAGCCACGGCUAACUACGUG